AUACAGAUCACUGGAGCUCUUGUUAAAAUGUAAAUUCUGAUACAACAAGUCUGAAUUGGGGCCUGAGAUUCUACAUUUCUAACAAGUUCUCAGGUAAUGAUGAU
rnacentral:pre_miRNA from 1 species